UCCACGUGCUCCCACUCCACGCUGUCUUUUCUUCCCUCACACUCAAAACAUAAAAAUCAAAUGUCAUCCAUCUUGUUUUUUUUUUUUUUUUUUUUCAUUUUAAUCGCAGUUUCUCCCUGAAAUGAUUCUGUCGUCACAUUUCAUCCUAAUCAAGUGCGGAAUGUGAUUUUUAUUUCCAGGUGGAAAACGUCAGUGACAAAAACACAACAUGUUAUAAUAAACAAUAAAUGAGUGAUUCUGUGUAUUAUAAUUUGUGGUGCUUCAGUUUGGAAAAGGUUUGUCGGAGAAAUCUGUGCGUAAAAGCGCAUUUUUCACGCUCAAGCUCUGGGUGUUUUCCACCGCUUCUCCCGACCCCAGAGCCCCCCAGUCCCCCCGGCCAGGGCUCGGUCUGUUUCCUAUUCCGCCGUCACUGCCCUCCUGUGUGUGCUCCGAGCUACCGAGACGCCCUCCGUCCGAGACCAGGAACAAAGGAAAUCGACACAAAAUGCGCCACCGUAAGAAAAAAGGCUGCAAAAUGAUUUCCAGAUGAAAAUCCGACUUGAAACUCACCAGACAUGAUGACAAAGAUGAAGAGAGGAUCUCUGGAGAAGACCUGAGGGACUCCACAACGUCCUUUUCUGCCUCAGCAAAAUGGCCAAGAACGAAAUUUGUGCAAAAGUCUAAAAAAAUCUCAACACAAAAGUCUUACAGCAGGGUCAGAGCAUACAAUAAUAUUGUAAUAUAGCUGUGAACAUAUUAGUUUGAGAUUUUCUCCCUCCAUGCCUACUAUUUAAAACCCCUAGAACUCAAUGAUUUGACAAUGAUUUGAUUGCGCGUUACUUUCAAUUUGAAUAUUCAGAGGCAACGGAGUUAUAUCGAUUUUUCAAUAAAAAUCACUACGCAUGGACAUUAUAUAAGCUCCACUUUAAUGUAAUAUAUUAGUAUUUUAUACUUUGACCAAAAAGAAACCAUACUUUUAUUAAUUUUAUCCUCCAUUUACAAUAUCAGGGCAUCACACCCCCUCAUUAAGCACUACAGCACUGGGUGCCUCAUAUACGCAACUUUAACGCCGCAAUUCGGCUCCUAUCUGCGGCCACACGUUCACUGAGGUCCCCCUUCAUGCCAGCGAUACUUUGAAACAUAUUUUUAAGCUUUUUUUCAGAGAAAAACAUAAAAUUGAGAGAGAAGUGGGCGUGGCAAAGGACAGCAGCCAUCUUUGGCACUGCAGGCCUUUGCAGGCUCCGGUGCUGAGCACUCACCUGCUGAAGGCUGCAGGGGGACGACUCUGCUGCUCCCCGCUCCUCCGAACAUCACGUUUCACACACUUUUAAUUCUUAAAAAGCUCAAUUUCAUCCACAAUAAUGAAGAUUUUCCCAGUGAAAAUCCUCAGUUUAAUAACAUGUGUAUUAACAUUUAAAAACAGCACCAAGUCUCCUGCAUCUAAACUGUUUCACAGCUGAUUUAAACUGAAAUAUAUUUGUUUUAAUCACUUAUAAAAGGCUGUUUUAGGAACUGUCUGUGCAUCACACAGCAGCAACACGUUCACAUCAGCCUGUAAAUGCUGCCAUUCACUGUUAGUACGUUUUAAAAUGUGGGAAAAACAUUAGAAGUGAUUCGUUUAUUCGAAAUUGCAGCAAAUCACAAACAAUUUGAUUCAUUUUUAAAUGUUUCAUAUUAAUCCAGCUGUGAACAUCUGGGGCAGUUAGGUCUCUGCAGCUGGUUAAACGUUUUUCAUUAGAUCUUAGUGUUAUUAUCUUUAUUAUGACUUUCCUAAUUAUAUGAUGUCUGUUAUUAGUUACAGCAGCAGCAGAGUUACUGUCCACGCUCCGUGGAGAAGACGUGCCAUGAUCAGCAGCAGCUGCAGGUUUGUUUGGUCUCUGGUUAAAUGUGACUCAUUAGAUCUUAGUGUUAUUAAUGUUGUUGUUAGUAUGACUUUUCUUAUUAUAGCAACGCUAUUAUUAGUUACAGCAGCAGCAGCAGAUUUUCUGUCCUCAGUCCGUGAAGAAAACAUUAGCUGCAGGUUUCUUUGGUCUCUGGUUAAAUGUUUAUCAUUAAAUCUUAAGUUAUUAAUGUCGUUUUCAUGACUUUUCUUAACCACUAUAAUGAAUUAGAGCAGCAGUGGUAGAGCCACUGUUUCCACUCCAUCAUCUAGAUCAACAUCAGCUGCGGGUUUGUUUCAUGUUGUAACUUUAAAAGUCCUGUUCUCAUCUCAAACACUUCUCACUAAGUCCCUCUUGUCUCUGCAACACUUCUUCAUCCCUGCUGCAGCCUCCUCCUCCUGCUGCAGCAGCGGUGCAGUGGCUCCACCUAGUGGUCAAACACCAGAACGACCUCUCCCUCCGCCUCAGUUUAACUGCUCUAUAUUAAAGCCUUCGUCCAAAUCCCUUUUGUAUUAAAUUCUGGACAGUACUAUGUUAUAUAUACACACAUUAUAUACACACACACACACGGUGUAAAGAUGGUUGAUUCAGUAUUGGGCUGCACUUUGACUGCAGCUGAUUUCAAGCUAAAGAAAAUAGAAAACAUGGCGCUCACUGACAAUUACAAUUGUACAAAUGUUGAACAUGUUGAAAGUGUUUUAAAUAAUAAAGUUGAACAGAUGUGA